rnacentral:rRNA from 1 species
UACGGAGGGUGCAAGCGUUAAUCGGAAUUACUGGGCGUAAAGCGUGCGUAGGCGGUUCGUUAAGUCUGCUGUGAAAGCCCGGCUCAACCUGGAAUGGCAGUGGAUACUGGCGAGCUAGAGUGUGAUAGAGGAUGGUGGAAUUCCCGGUGUAGCGGUGAAAUGCGUAGAGAUCGGAGGAACAUCAGUGGCGAAGGCGGCCAUCUGGAUCAACACUGACGCUGAGGCACGAAAGCGUGGGGAGCCAAACAGGGAGUUAAGAA